ACACGCUGGCGGCGUGCCUAAUACAUGCAAGUCGAACGAACUGUGGAAAGCUUGCUUUUCAGAGUUAGUGGCGAACGGGUGAGUAACACGUAAGUAACCUAGCUAUUAGACGAGGAUAACUACUGGAAACGGUAGCUAAGACUGGAUAUGAUAGAAAUAUUUAAAGGAUGCUAAGGCAUCGCUAAUAGAGGGGCUUGCGGCGCAUUAGCUAGUUGGUAGGGUAAAAGCCAACCAAGGCGAUGAUGCGUAGCCGACCUGAGAGGGUGACCGGCCACACUGGGACUGAGACACGGCCCAGACUCCUACGGGAGGCAGCAGUAGGGAAUCUUCGGCAAUGGACGAAAGUCUGACCGAGCAACGCCGCGUGAGUGAAGAAAGUUUUCGGAUUGUAAAGCUCUGUUAUUAGGGAAGAAAGGCUCUAGGAGGAAAUGCUUAGGGAUUGACGGUACCUAAUGAGGAAGCCACGGCUAACUACGUGCCAGCAGCGGC
rnacentral:rRNA from 1 species